ACACUCCUACGGGAGGCAGCAGUGAGGAAUAUUGGACAAUGGGUGGAAGCCUGAUCCAGCCAUCCCGCGUGCAGGAAGACGGCCCUAUGGGUUGUAAACUGCUUUUAUCUGGGGAUAAACCUACUUACGUGUAAGUAGCUGAAGGUACCAGAAGAAUAAGCACCGGCUAACUCCGUGCCAGCAGCCGCGGUAAUACGGAGGGUGCAAGCGUUAUCCGGAUUUAUUGGGUUUAAAGGGUCCGUAGGCGGACUGAUAAGUCAGUGGUGAAAUCCGACAGCUUAACUGUCGAACUGCCAUUGAUACUGUUAGUCUUGAGUAAGGUUGAAGUGGCUGGAAUAAGUAGUGUAGCGGUGAAAUGCAUAGAUAUUACUUAGAACACCAAUUGCGAAGGCAGGUCACUAAGUCUUAACUGACGCUGAUGGACGAAAGCGUGGGGAGCGAACAGGAUUAGAAACCCGUGUAGUCCCA
rnacentral:rRNA from 1 species